AGCUUUGUACAGUGGCAGUAUUGUAGCCAGUGAGGUUUAUCUGAGGCACGAUCAUUGAUAAUUGAAAACUUUUCCCAAUACCCUGCCAUGACGACUUGAAAUAUAGUUGGCAAUUAAUAAAAAAAAAAUAG
rnacentral:snRNA from 1 species